rnacentral:rRNA from 1 species
UGGGGAAUAUUGGACAAUGGGCGGAAGCCUGAUCCAGCAACGCCGCGUGAGGGAUGACGGCCUUCGGGUUGUAAACCUCUUUCAGUACCGACGAAGCGCGAGUGACGGUAGGUACAGAAGAAGCACCGGCCAACUACGUGCCAGCAGCCGCGGUAAUACGUAGGGUGCGAGCGUUGUCCGGAAUUAUUGGGCGUAAAGGGCUCGUAGGCGGUUUGUCGCGUCGGGCGUGAAAACGCUGUGCUUAACACAGCGCUUGCUUUCGAUACGGGCAGACUAGAGGUAUGCAGGGGAGAACGGAAUUCCUGGUGUAGCGGUGAAAUGCGCAGAUAUCAGGAGGAACACCGGUGGCGAAGGCGGUUCUCUGGGCAUUACCUGACGCUGAGGAGCGAAAGUGUGGGGAGCGAACA